GUUGCUUUUUGAAUGUUUAUAUGCAGCUUGAUAUCUUGCCUUAUGUCCAAUGUAUGCAGAGUCCCUUUCACUCUCAACAGUUGAAGGACUCUCUCACAGUGGCAAGAAAGUGGUGGACCUCUUAUUCACCAAAUUGUUGUAUUUCAAAUGGUAAUAAUUGUUAUAUUACUUGUAAUAACAAAUGAUGACUUCCCCAGAAUCAUCCUGGUUGGGUAGCAGAAGUGGAGAAGGUAUGGAAGAGGUGGAGAAAGACUGUGUUCACUUUUAGUGCAAAGUGGUUGGAUUCAUUCUUUGUCACUUUUUUUCACUAAUACUAGUAAAAAUGUAUCUUAUUUAAUUGCAAGAUUAAAAAACCUAAACACUAAAUGUUUUAACGUUAAAUUUAUGAUAUCAAACGUAACAUUAGCAAAGAAAAAUUGGUGGUGGUAGGUAGAGUAUAAUGUUCAGGAAUGCAAGUUUUAUGCAAAAAGCCACAGAAAUAAUGGUAAGCAUAAGUCAGUUCUCCAAACUACAAAGUGUUGCAAGAAUUUGAGCAGGAAGACAUCAUUUAUGGCUGGGUAAUCCAGAAAAUAUUCAUGUACUUGAGGGUAUGCGAGCUUGGCCUUGAAUUAUGGAUAGAUUUGCAAAAGGCUGAAACUCAAGGAAAAGGAUUCCAAAUAAUAAAUUGCAGAGAGCUAUACUGUUCCCCGGCUGCUGCAUAUUAGAACUAGAAAAUUGGCUAUGCUGUAAGGCUACACAACUAUUAAGAAAUAUGUAUCCCAGAAGUUAACCAGGAAACACAUAAAGAAUAGAAACCUUCCCAGUUACACGAUGGCAAAAAUUAAAUUAGAUGUCACAAAGAAGUAAGUAUGUGUAAUAAAAUUCGGGUACGUUGCAAUUUAUACCAUGUUAGAAGGAUGCAGUUCCUUUGGAAAGGACCUUAUUUCCCCAUUGACUUAUAAUUAUAGAUGUACUUAAUUCCAUCCCUGGUUUAUUUUUAUUGAUAACAUUAGUACUUUAGCUUAAAGUAUCUCUUUUCCUUGUAUGUCAAGUAGUUAAUGACCUGUAAAUGAACUCUUAAAUAUGCUAAGGAAGCUCAUUAUUUAAGGUAAUUAUUUAGCAAAGCAAUGAUCCUUUGGUUAUGCAAAUUACUGACGUUAAAUUAUAAAUUUGCAAGUAUCCAGUUUUAUGGUUCAUCCUUGGCCCUGAAGACGACUUUCUGACUCAAGUGUUGCUGGAUCCAAUAUUAAGAUGAGUAACAGGAAGAUGAAAAUACAUAAUUCAAGGGUGACAGAGUAGAUGUUACCUGCAUCUAGGGAUUCCUCCAUUUCCUGCAGAUGAUGGAGCUGGAGCUGGUGAUGAUGAUGAUGUUAGCUUUGGCUUGUCAUAUUCCCCCUGCUGGGUAUUAUUUAGAUUUAUGAAUAUAUUAUGUGCCAACUAUAAGACAUAGUUUUGGCUUUAACAUUGCUUUAUUUGAAGAGUACUUUCAUCAGAUGGACAUUUAUAAUUUACUGCUUUUGUGUGCUUACUAAGUGCCAAACACUUACUAGGUGCUAGAAAUAAUCUGUGCUUGGUGGCAUGGAGGAGGGGUGACCAGGGAAAAAGCGGCAGGCGAAUCAAUACACCUUUCACGUGGGGGAAAAUGAGGCUGGAAAGGGAAGAGGGAAACAAGGGCCAGAGGUUCUAUUUUGCUGAGCCAUAAAUUGGGAGACAUUAAAGGAUUUUUAGGUAAGGGUUUAUAAAAUCAGAUUUGCAUUUUAGGAAGAUCACAUUAAUCUCAGCGUUAUGAAAGGGGGUCAAGCUAGCUGUGAUGUAAAAACAGCCUAU
rnacentral:lncRNA from 1 species